rnacentral:misc_RNA from 1 species
UCCGGUUUGUCACCGGCAGUCUGGCGUGAGUCCCCAACUAAAUGCUGGCAACACGCCACGGGGGUUGCGCUCGUUGCGGGACUUAACCCAACAUCUCACGACACGAGCUGACGACAACCAUGCACCACCUGUGUACGAGUGUCCAAAGAGAACCCCAUCUCUGGGGCGUUCUCGUACAUGUCAAGCCCUGGUAAGGUUCUUCGCGUUGCAUCGAAUUAAACCACAUGCUCCGCUGCUUGUGCGGGCCCCCGUCAAUUCCUUUGAGUUUUAGCCUUGCGGCCGUACUCCCCAGGCGGGGUGCUUAAUGCGUUAGCUGCGGCACGGGAGGAGUCGACACCGCCCACACCUAGUUCCCAUCGUUUACGGCGUGGACUAC